UCCUAACGAUUUUAUGUUCAUUAUAUGCAGAUCAAUAUAAUAUUCCUCUAAAUCUAGGUGGGCCAAGAUAUGUGUGUUGUUUUUGCGGUGCACAGAUGUGGUAUGAAGAAAGAAAAAAUAAGUCAAGGAAUGAGCGGAAUCCGAGAUUUACCAUGUGUUGUAUGGAGGGCAAAGUGUCUCUGCCACCUUUCAAGCAAACACCUUCAUUAUUGGCUACAUUGCUCAAUUACAAAGGUGGUCGAACUGCUUAUAAAUUUAGACACAACAUACGGGUUUACAAUUCGAUGUUUCAGUUCACAUCUAUAGGUGGUAAAAUAGACAGUGAAAUUAAUAGAAGGCCAGGCCCAUAUGUCUUUAAGAUCAAUGGGCAAAAUCAUCACAAGAUAUGUUCUUUGCUACCUGUUGAUGGUGAAAGACCGAAAUUUGCGCAAUUAUACAUUUAUGAUACUGAGAAUGAAGUGUCUAACAGAAUUAAUGCAUUGGGAUAUGAUGUUCAACAAUCUGGUGUCGAAGAGAAUAUUGUGAAGGAAUUAAUGGAAAUGCUUGACCAAACUAAUCAAAUUGUCAAAGCUUUUCGAAUGGCCAAGGAACGGUUUAAAGAACCUGAUUACAUACCAGUUAAAUUGAGAUUGAUUGGUGCACGAAUGAAUGAUGGUCAGCAAUAUACAAAUCUUAUCUCUUCAGAAGUUGCUGCACUUAUUGUGGGAGAUGUAGAUCAAUUGAUUGACAAGCGUGACAUAAUCAUUGAACAUAGAUCUAAUGGUUUGCGAAGGAUAAGUGAUUUGCAUCCAGCAUUUAUGCCUAUGCAGUAUCCACUGUUAUUUCCUUACGGAGAAGAUGGCUUUCAUCUUAAUAUUCCAUACCAAAAGUGGAAUCACACAACCAAAACGAAGCGAGGGACUGUGACUGCAAGAGAGUUUUAUGUUUACAUGCUUCAAUUUCGCUUGAAUCAAGGUUUCACAUUGUUCUUGGGUGGAAAACUUUUUCACCAAUAUAUAACUGAUGCAUUUACAAGCGUUGAAGGAAUGAGAUUGGAUUAUAAUUUGAGGAAUCAAAAGAAGUUCAGAACUGAAAUUUUUCAGGGAGUAGUCGAUGCUUUCACAAGAGGUGAUACAGAUGGAAACAUGAUUGGGAAACGAAUAAUUUUGCCAGCAAGCUUUACUGGAGGGCCACGUUAUUACAUGCAAAAUUAUCAAGAUGCAAUGGCAAUCUGUCGACAUUAUGGAUGUCCAGAUUUGUUUAUAACAUUUACUUGUAAUAGUAGAUGGCCAGAAAUAAUUGCAGCAUUGAAGUUCAUUGACGGACAACGAGUGGAAGAUAGACCAGAUAUUGUUUGUCGGGUUUUCAAGAUUAGACUUCGAUGUUUCAUCAAAGAGUUGGUAGAUGAUCAACAUUUUGGAAAAGUCCGAGCAGGUUAGUCUUCAAAAUUAAUUUAUUAGUAUUUAUCAUGUUGCUGCAAUUUUUCAAUAAACAAACAAAGCAUUAAUACUAUUAGUAUUUGCUUAUUUUUUUAAAUUCUCAAUUUGUUCUCAUAGCCCUUUAUUUUUUUUUAUCAAGAAUUAAAGUCUGAGAUUGCAUGUGUGUUUUGUUGGUUAUACAUUUUUUUCUUAAGGAUAGGUAUUUUGUUCAUAAUUUGUUGGUUAUUUUUUCUACUCAUUUUAUCCUAUAAUUUCUUCUUUUCUUUACUGGAUACAACUUUUUAUAUUUAUUUAUGUUACUAAAUUGUAAACUAUUAAGGUUGAUAUUGGCAUAUAUAUUUCUAUUUCAAUUUUUAAAUGAUUUGUUGACAAGUUCAUUAUAUGUUUUAACAUAAUAUUGUAUAUUUACUGUUUUUUCCCAUAAAAUAUUGUUAAUAUCACUAACAACAUUUAUUUAUGCAUUGUUGCUAACUAUUAUUUUAUUACUCAAUUCAAAGAUAAAAUAUAUUAUCAAAUUAUUUAACUAUUUAAACUAAUUUUUAAACUAUACAUAUCAAACAGUAACUUCUGCAGCAUAGUUGCUUAGCGCUUGUAUUCUCAUCAUCAUAAAAAAAAAUUAUCAGCAUCUUUUCAUUCUUCUGUUUCAUUAGUUAUCUACAUGAUAGAAUUUCAACCAAUCUUUGGAAGUGUUGGGAUCUUAGGACAGUUUGGAAUGAUGGUUAUGUGCUUUGUUGGACAAANCUCUCACCUCUCUCUCUCUUCUUCUUCUUCCUCCUUUUUUUUUCUUGCUUUUUUUUUGGGGGGUUAAUUUUUGGUUUUUUGUUUCAGUUUUUUUUUUGGCUUUUUUUGUUUGCAGGUGCCCCCACUUUUUUCUGUGUUUGGUUUUUGCAGGAUCCUUAAAAAGUCGAAUUGUCCAAAAAUUUGGACAACCCGGCGAUGGGGUUCUGGCACCAGGGAGUUGGUGGUCAGAAACCCCUUCACGCGUGGUGGUUGGGGGAAAGGAUGGUUGGGCGUACGCCCAGCCAUCCAUUUUUUUAUAUAUAUAUAUAUGUAUAUUUUUCUUUAUUUAUUUUAUAUAUUUUAUUUGGUUUUAUUAUAAUUUAAAUUUUUUGUUUUAGGUGUCUACACCUUUAUUCACAUGUUGAUAAACAGAGACAAAGCUACGGUUAGAUUAUGGAAUGUGCCAAAAUUUAUUCUAAUUGUCUUGCUUUUGUCUGUCAUCGAGAUGUUUUCCUGUAUUCAGUUGUUGGGUUUGAUGGUGAACUAAAGACUGUGUCUCAAAAAUCUGUUGAUGUUUUCAUUCCUUCUGAUUUUUAUAAUUUACGCUUCUUGAAUCCGAACACAAAUGGAUAUUACACAUCGUUGGCAAGCACCAGUCAAAUACAAAAUUCUGUUGCAAUUAGAAACUCCAACCAAAAGCUUGGUUAUAACACUGUUGAAUCGUCAUCCUAUAUUCAAAAUGUCGAACAAGAUUGUCGAAAUUCUCAAAGGAGAAAAAUUGUGAGUUUUGAGAUUGAUCAUAGAGAUGAUGACAACUCUUUCGAACAAGAGCUAUCUCUUGCUUCUAAUGCUUCUCAAAUGCUUCUUAUUUUGAAUGAUGAAGAUGAUAUCUCAGCAUUUGAUCAGCAAACUGCUCAUAUUGGGACCAGUUUUGUUGGAGAUAAUUCAACUUCUACGCAUUUUGAUUCAAGUGAGUAUUUUUAUGAAUUCCCAUUUUAUAUGUAAUAUUUCUUAUUUUCAUGAUUAUUUAUUCUUCGUUUUCCUAACCAUUUUAUGUUCAUUAUAUGCAGAUCAAUAUAAUAUUCCUCUAAAUUUAGGUGGGCCAAGAUAUGUGUAUUGUUUUUGCGGUGCACAGAUGUGGUAUGAAGAAAGAAAAAAUAAGUCAAGGAAUGAGCGGAAUCCGAGAUUUACCAUGUGUUGUAUGGAAGGCAAAGUGUCUUUGCCACCUUUCAAGCAAACACCUUCAUUAUUGGCUACAUUGCUCAAUUACAAAGGUGGUC
rnacentral:lncRNA from 1 species